rnacentral:rRNA from 1 species
AUUGAACGCCGGCGGCAGGCCUAACACAUGCAAGUCGAACGAGUGGCGGACGGGUGAGUAAUGUCUGGGAAACUGCCUGAUGGAGGGGGAUAACUACCGGAAACGGUAGCUAAUACCGCAUACCAUCGGAUGUGCCCAGAUGGGAUUAGCAAGUAGGUGGGGUAAAGGCUCACCUAGGCGACGAUCCCUAGCUGGUCUGAGAGGAUGACCAGCCUCACUGAAACUGAGACACGGUCCAGACUCCUACGGGAGGCAGCAUUGGGAAAUAUUGCACAAUGGUCGCAAGCAUGAUGCAGCCAUACCACGUGUAUGAAGAAGGCCUUCGGGUUGUAAAGUACUUUCAGCGGGGAGGCGUUACCCGCAAAAGAAGCACCGGCUAACUCCGUGCCAGCGGCCGCGAUAAUUC